rnacentral:tRNA from 1 species
GGGGUUGUGGCUCAGUAGUAGAGUGCUUGCCUAGCAUGUGUGAAGCACUAGGUUCAAUCCUUAGCACCCCA